rnacentral:lncRNA from 1 species
CCUGGAUUCACAUUGGCCGUGCUGGGAAGAGGGGUACAGGAGAGAAGGAGAAGGAUUCAUCGACACCUGCUUUUCCAAGGAGCAAGCAGCUUUAUUGAGGUAAAAUUAUUUGAAAUGUACCAUUUGAUGAGUUUUGACGUGUACCAGUGAAACCAUCUCCACAAUCAAGAAGAUAGGGAAAUCAACACAUUUUCUGAUAAAAUAAUAAGUUCCAGUCAAGAAGUCCAACUGAUAAACUGUAAUACAUAUUCUCAUGCUGGUAGAUUCAUGUGAGAUUGAGAAAGUGUGACCCUGCAGAGCCUAGAGGGCUGGAGACAGGAAGCACGAAGUCCUACAGUAGGUCACUGGCACUGACAGCAGGGCCACUGCUGCUUCCGCCCGUUGGUUUCCAGGCCAUCUAUCCUUCCUACUGGGGCACACCGCCAUGUAGGGGCUCUGGUUUAAUGAAUACACUGCAUCCUGAAGGAGGUACUCUAUCAGGGUGUUGCCUCGGAGAUGGUGCAUCAGUUGUAUCAGUAGAAAGGCAUUCCGCGAGGCUGGCUGCCUCUGGGUGCAGUAAGUGACGUCAAGCACUGCAUCCCAUGACCAUGGGCUCAUUUCCACACCUUGUUCACCGUGAAGCGAGUCCCCCGGUCAUAUGCUAUGCUUGGUGGGAUUCCAUGCCUGUGGAUCAGGCAAUCCUUACAACCACAGAGGGUCAAAAGUGGGAUGAGGAUAAUGGGAAUCAUACUGAGAAAGUGGAGUUUGUCAAUGUACAAUAAUAGGCUGGAUGAGUGGUAAAGCGAUGAGAAAGAAAAAGGAUUCCAUAGAAUCAGAAAGUUAAUCUUGUUCUGUCAUCUUGGAUAGAAGCUGUCCACUUCCAAAGUCUGCAAGUGUCUGCAAAUUCUGGGAAAUGCCUGAGAAUCCUCAGUCUGAGGUCUUGGAAUGGCUGUCUUAUCGUUAGGAGAAAGUGAUGUGUGUCUUUUCAGUUGGCAAACAUAUGUCCGAGGACUAACCCUUUAGAGUUUUAUGCUAUGUCAGUUGUUAGUGGCUCAUGAGACCCUUUCCACUGAGGCUCAAGGGCGGUUUUCCUCUGAUUUCUUUUCCAGUAACCAAAUCUCCAUAUUUCAGAUCAUGCAGAGGCUGCUUAGGUGGGUGUUUUGGAAAUUUAUAAAAAUAAAGCAAAAAAAA